rnacentral:rRNA from 1 species
GGGGAAUAUUGCACAAUGGGCGAAAGCCUGAUGCAGCAACGCCGCGUGAGUGGUGAAGGCCUUCGGGUUGUAAAGCUCUGUCUUCUGGGACGAUAAUGACGGUACCAGAGGAGGAAGCCACGGCUAACUACGUGCCAGCAGCCGCGGUAAUACGUAGGUGGCAAGCGUUGUCCGGAUUUACUGGGCGUAAAGGAUGCGUAGGCGGAUACUUAAGUCAGAUGUGAAAAUCCCGGGCUUAACUUGGGAACUGCAUUUGAAACUGGGUAUCUAGAGUGCGGGAGAGGAAAGUGGAAUUCCUAGGGUAGCGGUGAAAUGCGUAGAGAUUAGGAAGAACACCAGUGGCGAAGGCGACUGUCUGGACCGUAACUGACGCUGAGGCAUGAAAGCGUGGGGAGCAAACA